GACGAACGCUGGCGGCGUGCUUGACACAUGCAAGUCGAACGGAAAGGCCUGCUUUCCCUUGUGGAUUGCGGGUACUCGCGUGGCGAACGGGUGAGUAACACGUGAGUGAUCUGCCCCCAACUUGGGUAUAAGCCUGGGAAACUGGGUCUAAUUCCCGAUAGGACUGCAGGGUGGUGCCUGUGGUGGAAAACGAUUUUCUAGUGGUUGGGGAUGAGCUCGCGGCCUAUCAGCUUGUUGGUGGGGUAAUGGCCUACCAAGGCGGCGACGGGUAGCCGGCCUGAGAGGGUGGACGGCCACAUUGGGACUGAGAUACGGCCCAGACUCCUACGGGAGGCAGCAGUGGGGAAUAUUGCACAAUGGGCGGAAGCCUGAUGCAGCGACGCCGCGUGGGGGAUGACGGCCUUCGGGUUGUAAACUCCUUGCGACCGCGAGGAAGCCACCUGGUUGGAAGGGUGGUGACGGUAGUGGUAGAAGAAGCACCGGCUAACUACGUG
rnacentral:rRNA from 1 species